rnacentral:Y_RNA from 1 species
ACGGCGAAUGCCGGAAGGACUACAUCGACUUGUAAUCGCCAGGUCGCGGGUUCGAAUCCCGCCAGGCCCACCAUUUUCUGCGCUAACGCUUCACUGCAUGAGCGCACAUUAUGGGCCUGUAGCUCAGCGGAUAGAGCAGGAACGUCUUUCCAAAUCCUCGUCGCCGUGAA